rnacentral:lncRNA from 1 species
GAGCUCUCUGACAAAGUUUUGAGGACUACCUUAACUGUUAUUAAUUAUCUGGUAUCCUGUGCUUUGUAACAGGACAAACGAAAUCAGCUGAGUGAGGAGUAAUCAACAAAAUUAUGAAAGGAAAUUUCUCAUCUUGUACUUUAGCAAGGAGCCCAGAUUACUCAAUUUCUAUGAACACCACCUGCUCCAAACUCUUACCUGCCUUAAUUCUGUAGGGCUGCCAUAAAAAUGACUCUUUAGCAAGCCCCUUGCUCCCUGUUACCGUUCUUUCCCCUAAUUUUUCACAUCACAUUUUAAUUAGAAGUGCACCUGUGGUCAGAGACCACCCAAUUGCAACAGCCACAUUUUGCAAGGCGUGAAGUGAGCCCUCAGAGAGGCCUUACAGUGCACCCUGAAGAACCAGAUGUAAUUAUAAGCCCUCCAGAUGUGCCUGCUGCAUCGCUAAGAGACUGCAAGUUUCAAAAGAGAAGAAAAAGUUGCUUUCCAUGAGAAACUAAAGAUUCGGCAUCUUGCAGGCAGUCAGAGGGACAGAAAACAUGGCUGAAAGAAGACGCACCAGCUUUGUGACAGACCCAAAGACUACAGUUUGACAUAUCAGGAUUACUUCCCCUUCACUGCCUCUGGUCACCUUCUAGAAGGCAACAGUAUUUUCUGCUUAACUUCAUAGAUACCGACGAAAGUAUGGGCACAUCCUUUGGACCAAGUUCUCCAAGGGAUUUGUACCAUGCAGACAUCAGGUGGACCAUGAUAGGACUUCCGAGUCAGCAAGAAAGAUGCUUGUUGAAGAUGGAAGCAUCAGAAAGACUUGACCCACUCAAGGGGAAACUCUCCACUGGGGAGAGGAUCGUACCUGCACAACCAGUGGAGAGAAAUGAGCAGCCAUGGGGGGUGAGUCACACAAAAUUUGAAGCCUGUUUCAUGCCAGUUUCUCUGUACCAACUAUUACAUUGGCUGAGGUUGACUAGUUCAGAUUCAGAUGUCUAACUUUUAGUUGUAUAAAAAUAGGGCAGAUGAAUGUCAGCCUAUGUCUGAUAUGUGUGUGGGGAUUAGCAAGGUUAUGAAAUCUGCCAUCUGCUUUUUGUCUUCCUCCUUGAUGGCAGCUUGAAUGGAGCAUUCUUAUCCCAGUUGUCAAGUUGAUUUCAUAGCAAAUACGUGUAGCUAUUGGCAGAAGGAAGGUGUUUAAGGGAUUGCAGGUAAAAGCUUUUAAUAAAAAUGUUAUAAUAUUAUUAGUAUUAUUAUUC